UACGUAGGCAGCGAGCGUUGUUCGGAAUUACUGGGCGUAAAGAGUGUGUAGGCGGUGCUCUAAGUUCGGUGUGAAAUCUCUCGGCUUAACUGGGAGGGUGCGCCGGAAACUGGAGUGCUCGAACGUGGGAGAGGAAAGCGGAAUUCCUGGUGUAGCGGUGAAAUGCGUAGAUAUCGUAAGGAAGACCAGUGGCGAAGGCGGGUCUCUGGACAGUUCCUGACGCUGAGGCACGAAGGUCAGGGGAGCAAACGGG
rnacentral:rRNA from 1 species